rfam:Triticum urartu cultivar G1812 contig117909, whole genome shotgun sequence.
UUUAUACUCCCUCCGUUCGGAAUUACUUCUCGCAGAAAUAGAUGUAUCUAGAUGUAUUUUAGUUCUAAAUACAUCCAUUUCUGAGACAAGUAAUUCCAAACAGAGGAAGUAUGAU